rnacentral:rRNA from 1 species
CCUACGGGAGGCAGCAGUGAGGAAUCUUGGUCAAUGGGCGCGAGCCUGAACCAGCCAAGUAGCGUGAAGGAUGACUGCCCUACGGGUUGUAAACCUCUUUUAUGAAGGAAUAAAGUGAAGCACGUGUGCCUUUUUGUAUGUACUUUAUGAAUACGGAUCGGCUAACUCCGUGCCAGCAGCCGCGGUAAUACGGAGGAUCCGAGCGUUAUCCGGAUUUGUUGGGUUUAAAGGUAGCGUAGAUGGGUUGUUAAGUCAGUUGUGAAAGUUUGCGGCUCAACCGUAAAAUUGCAAUUGAUACUGGGAGUCUUGAGUACAGUUGAGGUAGGCGGAAUUCGUGGUGUAGCGGUGAAAUGCUUAGAUAUCACGAAGAACUCCGAUGGCGAAGGCAGCUUACUAAACUGCCACUGACAUUGAUGCUCGAAAGUGUGGGUAUCAAACAGGAUUAGAUACCCUAGUAGUC